CACUAUCGUUAACUGAAUACAUAGGUUAACGAGGCGAACCGGGGGAACUGAAACAUCUAAGUACCCCGAGGAAAAGAAAUCAACCGAGAUUCCCCCAGUAGCGGCGAGCGAACGGGGAGCAGCCCAGAGUCUGAAUCAGCUUGUGUGUUAGUGGAACGGUCUGGAAAGUCCGACGGUACAGGGUGAUAGUCCCGUACACCAAAAUGCACAGGCUGUGAACUCGAAGAGUAGGGCGGGACACGUGGUAUCCUGUCUGAAUAUGGGGGGACCAUCCUCCAAGGCUAAAUACUCCUGACUGACCGAUAGUGAACCAGUACCGUGAGGGAAAGGCGAAAAGAACCCCGGCGAGGGGAGUGAAAAAGAACCUGAAACCGUGUACGUACAAGCAGUGGGAGCACCUUCGGGUGUGACUGCGUACCUUUUGUAUAAUGGGUCAGCGACUUAUAUUCUGUAGCAAGGUUAACCGUAUAGGGGAGCCGCAGGGAAACCGAGUCUUAACUGGGCGUUAAGUUGCAGGGUAUAGACCCGAAACCCGGUGAUCUAGCCAUGGGCAGGUUGAAGGUUGGGUAACACUAACUGGAGGACCGAACCGACUAAUGUUGAAAAAUUAGCGGAUGACUUGUGGCUGGGGGUGAAAGGCCAAUCAAACCGGGAGAUAGCUGGUUCUCCCCGAAAGCUAUUUAGGUAGCGCCUCGUGAAUUCAUCUUCGGGGGUAGAGCACUGUUUCGGCUAGGGGGUCAUCCCGACUUACCAACCCGAUGCAAACUACGAAUACCGAAGAAUGUUAUCACGGGAGACACACGGCGGGUGCUAACGUCCGUCGUGAAGAGGGAAACAACCCAGACCGCCAGCUAAGGUCCCAAAGUCAUGGUUAAGUGGGAAACGAUGUGGGAAGGCACAGACAGCCAGGAUGUUGGCUUAGAAGCAGCCAUCAUUUAAAGAAAGCGUAAUAGCUCACUGGUCGAGUCGGCCUGCGCGGAAGAUGUAACGGGGCUAAACCAUGCACCGAAGCUGCGGCAGCGACACUAUGUGUUGUUGGGUAGGGGAGCGUUCUGUAAGCCUGCGAAGGUGNNNNNNNNNUGCUGGAGGUAUCAGAAGUGCGAAUGCUGACAUAAGUAACGAUAAAGCGGGUGAAAAGCCCGCUCGCCGGAAGACCAAGGGUUCCUGUCCAACGUUAAUCGGGGCAGGGUGAGUCGACCCCUAAGGCGAGGCCGAAAGGCGUAGUCGAUGGGAAACAGGUUAAUAUUCCUGUACUUGGUGUUACUGCGAAGGGGGGACGGAGAAGGCUAUGUUAGCCGGGCGACGGUUGUCCCGGUUUAAGCAUGUAGGCUGGUUGUCCAGGCAAAUCCGGAUAAUCAAGGCUGAGGUGUGAUGACGAGGCACUACGGUGCUGAAGUAACAAAUGCCCUGCUUCCAGGAAAAGCCUCUAAGCAUCAGGUAACAUCAAAUCGUACCCCAAACCGACACAGGUGGUCAGGUAGAGAAUACCAAGGCGCUUGAGAGAACUCGGGUGAAGGAACUAGGCAAAAUGGUGCCGUAACUUCGGGAGAAGGCACGCUGGUGUGUAGGUGAAGCCCCUGCGGGUGGAGCUGAGACCAGUCGAAGAUACCAGCUGGCUGCAACUGUUUAUUAAAAACACAGCACUGUGCAAACACGAAAGUGGACGUAUACGGUGUGACGCCUGCCCGGUGCCGGAAGGUUAAUUGAUGGGGUUAUCCGUAAGGAGAAGCUCUUGAUCGAAGCCCCGGUAAACGGCGGCCGUAACUAUAACGGUCCUAAGGUAGCGAAAUUCCUUGUCGGGUAAGUUCCGACCUGCACGAAUGGCGUAAUGAUGGCCAGGCUGUCUCCACCCGAGACUCAGUGAAAUUGAACUCGCUGUGAAGAUGCAGUGUACCCGCGGCAAGACGGAAAGACCCCGUGAACCUUUACUAUAGCUUGACACUGAACAUUGAGCCUUGAUGUGUAGGAUAGGUGGGAGGCUUUGAAGCGUGGACGCCAGUCUGCGUGGAGCCAACCUUGAAAUACCACCCUUUAAUGUUUGAUGUUCUAACGUUGGCCCCUUACCGGGGUUGCGGACAGUGUCUGGUGGGUAGUUUGACUGGGGCGGUCUCCUCCCAAAGCGUAACGGAGGAGCACGAAGGUUAGCUAAUCCUGGUCGGACAUCAGGAGGUUAGUGCAAUGGCAUAAGCUAGCUUGACUGCGAGCGUGACGGCGCGAGCAGGUGCGAAAGCAGGUCAUAGUGAUCCGGUGGUUCUGAAUGGAAGGGCCAUCGCUCAACGGAUAAAAGGUACUCCGGGGAUAACAGGCUGAUACCGCCCAAGAGUUCAUAUCGACGGCGGUGUUUGGCACCUCGAUGUCGGCUCAUCACAUCCUGGGGCUGAAGUAGGUCCCAAGGGUAUGGCUGUUCGCCAUUUAAAGUGGUACGCGAGCUGGGUUUAGAACGUCGUGAGACAGUUCGGUCCCUAUCUGCCGUGGGCGCUGGAGAAUUGAGGGGGGCUGCUCCUAGUACGAGAGGACCGGAGUGGACGCAUCACUGGUGUUCGGGUUGUCAUGCCAAUGGCACUGCCCGGUAGCUAAAUGCGGAAGAGAUAAGUGCUGAAAGCAUCUAAGCACGAAACUUGCCCCGAGAUGAGUUCUCCCUGAGACUUUAAGUCUCCUGAAGGAACGUUGAAGACGACGACGUUGAUAGGCCGGGUGUGUAAGCGCAGCGAUGCGUUGAGCUAACCGGUACUAAUGAACCGUGAGGCUUAACCUU
rnacentral:rRNA from 1 species